CUACGGGAGGCUCCAGUGGGGAAUAUUGCACAAUGGAGGAAACUCUGAUGCAGCAACGCCGCGUGGAGGAUGACGCAUUUCGGUGUGUAAACUCCUUUUAUAUGUCAAGAAAAUGACGGUAGCAUAUGAAUAAGCACCGGCUAACUCCGUGCCAGGCAGCCGCGGUAAUACGGAGGGUGCAAGCGUUACUCGGAAUCACUGGGCGUAAAGGACGCGUAGGCGGGUUGGAAAGUCAGGUGUGAAAUCCUACAGCUUAACUGUAGAACUGCACUUGAAACUUCUAAUCUAGAGUAUGGGAGGGGGAGAUGGAAUUAGUGGUGUAGGGGUAAAAUCCGUAGAUAUCACUAGGAAUACCUAAAGCGAAGGCGAUCUCCUGGAACAUUACUGACGCUAAGGCGUGAAAGCGUGGGGAGCAAACAGGAUUAGAUACCCUUGUAGUC
rnacentral:rRNA from 1 species